UGCAUAUCAAUAAGCGGAGGAAAAGAAACUAACAAGGAUUCCCCUAGUAACGGCGAGUGAACCGGGAAGAGCUCAAAUUUGAAAUCUGGCGUGCUCAGUGCGUCCGAGUUGUAAUCUAUAGAGUCGUUUUCCGUGCCGGACUGUGUCCAAGUCCCUUGGAACAGGGUAUCAAAGAGGGUGAUAAUCCCGUACUUGACACAAUGACCGGUGCUCUGUGAUACGUCUUCUACGAGUCGAGUUGUUUGGGAAUGCAGCUCAAAAUGGGUGGUGAGUUCCAUCUAAAGCUAAAUAUUGGCGAGAGACCGAUAGCGAACAAGUACCGUGAGGGAAAGAUGAAAAGCACUUUGGAAAGAGAGUUAAACAGUACGUGAAAUUGUUAAAAGGGAAACGAUUGAAGUCAGUCGUGACUGAGAGGCUCAGCCGGUUCUGCCGGUGUAUUCCCCUCAGUCGGGUCAACAUCAGUUUUGUUCGGUGGAUAAGGGCGGUUGGAAGGUGGCACCCUCGGGUGUGUUAUAGCCAACUGUCGCAUACAUCGGAUGAGACUGAGGAAUGCAGCUCGCCUUUAUGGCCGGGGUCGCCCACGUCGAGC
rnacentral:rRNA from 1 species